GAGUUUGAUCGUGGCUCAGGAUGAACGCUAGCUACAGGCUUAACACAUGCAAGUCGAGGGGCAGCAUUUUAGUUUGCUUGCAAACUAAAGAUGGCGACCGGCGCACGGGUGAGUAACACGUAUCCAACCUGCCGAUAACUCGGGGAUAGCCUUUCGAAAGAAAGAUUAAUAUCCGAUAGUAUAUUAAAACCGCAUGGUUUUACUAUUAAAGAAUUUCGGUUAUCGAUGGGGAUGCGUUCCAUUAGUUUGUUGGCAGGGUAACGGCCCACCAAGGCGACGAUCAGUAGCCGGACUGAGAGGUUGAACGGCCACAUUGGGACUGAGACACGGUCCAAACUCCUACGGGAGCAGCAGUGAGG
rnacentral:rRNA from 1 species